UACGAAGGGGGCUAGCGUUGCUCGGAAUCACUGGGCGUAAAGCGCACGUAGGCGGCUUCUCAAGUCAGGGGUGAAAUCCUGGAGCUCAACUCCAGAACUGCCUUUGAUACUGAGGGGCUCGAGUCCGGGAGAGGUGAGUGGAACUGCGAGUGUAGAGGUGAAAUUCGUAGAUAUUGGGAAGAACACCAGUGGCGAAGGCGGCUAACUGGUCCAGUACUGACGCUGAGGUGCGAAAGCGUGGGGAGCAAACAGG
rnacentral:rRNA from 1 species